rnacentral:rRNA from 1 species
GAUGAACGCUGGCGGCGUGCCUAACACAUGCAAGUCGAGCGGACGGACGAAAGGUUUGCUUCUCUGAUGUUAGCGGCGGGCGGGUGUGUCACGCGUGGAUAACCUACCUAUAUGACUGGGAUAACUUCGGGAAACCGGAGCUAAUCCCGGAUGAUAUUUUGAUCGGCAUGGUUCAAGAGUGAAAGACGGUCUUGGUGUGACUUAUAGAUGGAUCCGCGCUGCAUUAGCGAGUUGGUAAGGUAACGGCUUACCAAGGGAACGAUGCAUAGCCGAGCUGAGAGGGUGAUCGGCCACACUGGAACUGAGAGGCGGUCCAGACUCCUACGGGAGGCAGAAGCAGCGAAGCGUGCGAGAUGGGCGAAAGCCUGAAGGAGCAACGCCGCGCGAGUGAUGAAGGUCUUCGGAUCGUAAAACUCUGUUAUUAUGGAAGAACAUAUGCGCAAGGAACGGUGCACAUCUUGACGGUACCUAAUCAGAAAGCCACGGCUAACUACGUG